GGGGAUUUAGCUCAGUGGUGUAAGCGCCUGCCUUGCAAGCAGCCAGUUGUGAGUUCAAUCCCUG
rfam:Cavia porcellus supercont2_9 genomic scaffold, whole genome shotgun sequence.